AACGAACGCUGGCGGCAUGCCUAACACAUGCAAGUCGAACGAGACCUCCGGGUCUAGUGGCGCACGGGUGCGUAACGCGUGGGAACCUGCCCUUAGGUUCGGAAUAACUCCCCGAAAGGGGUGGUAAUACCGGAUAAUGUCUUCGGACCAACGAUUUAUCGCCUUUGGAUGGGCCCGCGUUGGAUUAGCUAGUUGUUAGGGUAAAAGCCUACCAAGACGACGAUCCAUAGCUGGUCUGAGAGGCUGAUCAGCCACACUGGGACUGAGACACGGCCCAGACUCCUACGGGAGGCAGCAGUAGGGAAUAUUGGACAAUGGGCGAAAGCCUGAUCCAGCACUGCCGCGUGAGUAAUGAAGGCCUUAGGGUUGUAAAGCUCUUUUACCCGGAAUGAUAAUGACAGUACCGGGAGAAUAAGCUCCGGCUAACUCCGUG
rnacentral:rRNA from 1 species